UUGGAUUGAGCCUUGGUAUGGAAACCUACUAAGUGAAAACUUUCAAAUCCAGAGAAACCCUGGAAUUAACAAUGUGAAGAACUGAUUAAUCGGACGAGAAUAAAGAUAGAGUCCCAUUCUACAU
rnacentral:tRNA from 1 species